rnacentral:tRNA from 1 species
GCGGGUAUGGUGGAAUGGUAGACACGAUAGAUUCAAAAUCUAUUGCGAAAGCGUGGGGGUUCAAGUCCCUCUACCCGUACCA